AUGGUAGGAUAGAGGCCUACCAUGGUGGUAACGGGUAACGGGGUGUUAGGGCACGACACCGGAGAGGGAGCCUGAGAAACGGCUACCACAUCCAAGGAUGGCAGCAGGCGCGCAAAUUACCCAAUCCCGACACGGGGAGGUAGUGACAAUAAAUAACAAUACGGGGUUCUUUAGGAUCUCGUAAUUGGAAUGAGUACAAUUUAAAUCUCUUAACGAGGAACAAUUGGAGGGCAAGUCUGGUGCCAGCAGCCGCGGUAAUUCCAGCUCCAAUAACGUAUAUNAAAGUUGUUGCAGUUAAAAAGCUCGUAGUUGAAUUUCGGGGUCAGUAGGUCGGUCGUGCCACUGGUAUGAACUGGUUUUACUGAUUCCUCCCUCUUGAAGAACUGUAAUGCCAUUAAUUUGGUGUUGCAGGGAAUCAGGACUGUUACUUUGAAAAAAUUAGAGUGUUUAAAGCAAGCUUUAGCUUGAAUACAUUAGCAUGGAAUAAUGAAAUAGGACGUUUGAUCCUAUUUUGUUGGUUUCUAGGAUUGACGUAAUGAUUAAUAGGGAUAGUUGGGGGCAUUAGUAUUCAAUUGUCAGAGGUGAAAUUCUUGGAUUUAUUGAAGACUAACUACUGCGAAAGCAUUUGCCAAGGAUGUUUUCAUUAAUCAAGAACGAAAGUUAGGGGAUCGAAGACGAUCAGAUACCGUCGUAGUCUUAACCAUAAACUAUGCCGACUAGGGAUCGGAUGAUGUUAAUUUUUUAAUGACUCAUUCGGCGCCUUACGGGAAACCAAAGUGUUUGGG
rnacentral:rRNA from 1 species